CCUGGGAAUGUGUGUGUGUGUGUGUGUGUGUGUGUGUGUGCAUAUAUAUAUAUAUAUACACACACACACACACACACAUAUACAUGCAUAUA